rnacentral:misc_RNA from 1 species
AGUCGUAACAAGGUCUCCGUUGGUGAACCAGCGGAGGGAUCAUUACCGAGUUUACAACUCCCAAACCCCUGUGAACAUACCUUAAUGUUGCCUCGGCGGAUCAGCCCGCUCCCCGUAAAACGGGACGGCCCGCCAGAGGACCCAAACUCUAAUGUUUCUUAUUGUAACUUCUGAGUAAAACAAACAAAUAAAUCAAAACUUUCAACAACGGAUCUCUUGGUUCUGGCAUCGAUGAAGAACGCAGCAAAAUGCGAUAAGUAAUGUGAAUUGCAGAAUUCAGUGAAUCAUCGAAUCUUUGAACGCACAUUGCGCCCGCUGGUAUUCCGGCGGGCAUGCCUGUUCGAGCGUCAUUUCAACCCUCAAGCCCCCGGGUUUGGUGUUGGGGAUCGGCUCUGCCUCACGGCGGUGCCGCCCCCGAAAUACAUUGGCGGUCUCGCUGCAGCCUCCAUUGCGUAGUAGCUAACACCUCGCAACUGGAACGCGGCGCGGCCAUGCCGUAAAACCCCAACUUCUGAAUGUUGACCUCGGAUCAGGUAGGAAUACCCGCUGAACUUAAGCAUAUCAAUAAGCGGAGGAA